rnacentral:lncRNA from 1 species
AUCCUCUUAUCGCAUGUGCCACUUAGGCAUGAAUUCAUUUUUCUACUAUACUUUGUAUAGAAUGGUAAGUGAGUAUGUCAGAUUUGGGGGAUGCAUUCCAUAUUAACUCUGUUUUAUUAUGCCACUGGAAUUAUAUACUCCUCUCAAAAAAGUAAGUCUGGCUGAGUAAUUGAUAUCAAUCAAAAGUCAUGGUGGAAAGCACAUUGGUGAGGUCUUGUUAACUCUCACACUACAAAAUACACCCUCAACCUUUCAUGGUCAACUUUUUGGGGCUCUGAGGAUAUCCAAUAACCAUGCUCUGGAGAUUGAGACCAUGUGCACAGAUUCAAGCUCUUCACCAUUCUGGUUGCUCUUCUCUAGAUGGUCUCCAAAUUUUUAACAUCUUCCUUGAAUCAUGGAACUUAGAACUACACACAAUAUUCCAGAUCAUGUCUGAUGAGGGUAUAAUAAAAUGACUUCCCUCAUUGGAAGACUCAGACCUCAAUUGAGACAAAAGGGAGUUCUUCCAGAUGUCAAAACCAAACAUGACAUUCUGUGUGACUGACUGGUAUAGCAGCUUUCUCUCCACUGCUGCCACUGUUGCCACUGCUGCUGCUUCUGCUGACACCUGCUAUCACAUGAGAGGUGGCUCUGGCUCUCUUUGGCGGUGGAGGAACCUUGGCAUGCCUGCAGCUUUUGUCAGGGUCUUGUGAUGAGCAUCCUUGAUGAGGGUGUUGAUCUCUCUAUGCAAGCUAGUCAAAUUCCAACCCAAGUUGCUGAGUUCUAAUGAC